rnacentral:rRNA from 1 species
UGGAUCGGGAUAACAGAGUGAAACUUCUGCUAAGACCCAAUAUGGCGCAAGCUGAAAUAAGUUAUUGCCAAAUGAGGAGCUCGCGUCCGAUUAGUUAGUUGGCGGGGUAAGAGCCUACCAAGGCAGCGAUCGGUAGUUGGUCUGAGAGGAUGAGCAGCCACACUGGGAGUGAGACACGGCCCAGACUCUUACGGGAGGCAGCAGUGGGGAAUUUUCCGCAAUGGGCGAAAGCCUGACGGAGCAAUACCGCGUGAGGGAGGAAGGCUUUUGGGUUGUAAACCUCUUUUAUUAAGGAAGAAGCAAGUGACGGUACUUAAUGAAUCAGCAUCGGCUAACUCCGUGCCAGCAGCCGCGGUAAUACGGAGGAUGCAAGCGUUAUCCGGAAUCAUUGGGCGUAAAGCGUCCGCAGGUGGUCAAUCGUGUCUGCCGUUAAAGACAGAAGCUCAACUUCUGAGAGGCGGUGGAAACUGGUUGACUAGAGUACGGUAGGGGUUGAGGGAAUUCCCAGUGUAGCGGUGAAAUGCGUAGAUAUUGGGAAGC